CUACGGGUGGCACCAGUGGGGAAUAUUGGACAAUGGGCGCAAGCCUGAUCCAGCCAUGUCGCGUGUGUGAAGAAGGCCUUCGGGUUGUAAAGCACUUUCAGAGGUGAGGAAGGGUGUGCCGUUAAUACCGGUAUGCUUUGACGUUAGCCUCAGAAGAAGCACCGGCUAACUCUGUGCCAGCAGCCGCGGUAAUACAGAGGGUGCGAGCGUUAAUCGGAAUUACUGGGCGUAAAGCGCGCGUAGGUGGUUUGUUAAGUCGGAUGUGAAAGCCCAGGGCUCAACCUUGGAAUUGCACCCGAUACUGGCAAGCUAGAGUAAGGGAGAGGGGUGGGGAAUUUCCGGUGUAGCGGUGAAAUGCGUAGAUAUAGGAAGGAACAUCAGUGGCGAAGGCGACACCCUGGACCGAUACUGACACUGAGGUGCGAAAGCGUGGGGAGCAAACAGGAUUAGAUACCCCAGUAGUC
rnacentral:rRNA from 1 species